rnacentral:rRNA from 1 species
AACGAACGCUGGCGGCAUGCCUAACACAUGCAAGUCGAACGAGACCUUCGGGUCUAGUGGCUCACGGGUGCGUAACGCGUGGGAACCUGCCCUUAGGUUCGGAAUAACUCCCCGAAAGGGGUGCUAAUACCGGAUAAUGUCUUCGGACCAAAGAUUUAUCGCCUUUGGAUGGGCCCGCGUUGGUUUAGCUUGUUGGUAGGGUAAAAGCCUACCAAGGCGACGAUCCAUAGCUGGUCUGAGAGGAUGAUCAGCCACACUGGGACUGAGACACGGCCCAGACUCCUACGGGAGGCAGCAGUGGGGAAUAUUGGACAAUGGGCGAAAGCCUGAUCCAGCAAUGCCGCGUGAGUGAUGAAGGCCUUAGGGUUGUAAAGCUCUUUUACCCGGGAUGAUAAUGACAGUACCGGGAGAAUAAGCUCCGGCUAACUCCGUG